CCCAUGUGUGCCGGGGAGCGGCCCCCGGGGACCGCGGUUGUGCUGCUUCUACGCGCAUAAGCAGGGAGACUUCCCUUUCGACACGUCCGCUUCCCCCCCGCGCGAGUGAGACACCCGCAGCCCGGCCGUUACAGGCGCGGUCAGGGUGAUUACCUGCGGCUGUCGUCUGCUCUGCCUUGCGUAGCACGAGACUCUGCUGCUUUGAAAUUUAUGCGUGAUGCAGAACCACAAGACAGAACAAGGAUGAGACAGCAAGCUACAAGUUUGGAACCCUUGCAGAAGUCCUGGUGGGGGUGA
rnacentral:lncRNA from 1 species